rnacentral:lncRNA from 1 species
CAACAGGAGGCAGACAUAACACCCUAAAGUAAGAACCUUGAGAGGUACUGUCAUUUGCAAUUAGUUUUUUUUUGCAUAGGGGGUGGUGGGUAGAACAUUGUGACCAGGAGUUUCCCCCACUCAACUAAACUCACUGUUUUUUGAUUGAAUCCAUUUCUCCCCAGAAGAUUAUGGCCCAUCCAAAAGAUUUAAUGCUUCACUUUUGAGUGCUGUGGAGGACAGGACGCCUGCUCUCAUAAUUUUAUUUUUAUUAGAAGCAUUUCUCACACUGUCCUCUUACUUUUGUAUUAUGAUUUCUAUUUCAAUUUUUUUAAAGACAUAAAGCAAAUGCCUUGUCUUAUUGCAAAAAUAAUUUUUUUUUUUACUGAAGUGGAAUUCAUAUGACAUAAAUGAAAAAUAUAAGUGAAUUUAAACAUGUUUAAACCCUCUUUGAGUCCUUGGCUCUAUUUGUUAAAACUCAAAUUAUAUUUCUGGUUUAUUUUUAUAGUUUAAAAAUAUCCAGGCAAUAUGUAGACUCCUUUUUUUAAAAUUUCACUACAGGACAGUCAUUUUGAGUAGGGAACAUUCCAACAACCACCAUCCAGAUUUCCAGCCCAAUGUAUCUUAUUUUCAUCAGUACCAAUUUCACAGGAUUGUCAUAAGAAUUGAGAUUAUCUGUAUCAGAUAAACAACAUAGUAAGUCUUCACUAAAUAUUAGCUAAAAAAGACUCCAGAUUGGAUGUGCUGGUUGUAGGAAAAGUGGCCUCAUACCAGGUCAGUUCCAAAUCUUUUGUAACCAGAUUAUAUUAACAACAUUGAGAUAGGAAGUAUUUCCAUAGACUCCCUCCCUUGGCAGGCUUGUUGCAUUGGCUGGGAUCUAAACAUACCUAAGUAAUAUGAGUCCUUCAUUUCUCAGACCAACUAAGUCCUCCAGAUUGGAAAGUCCACAGCCAUAAAAUCUCUACUUGUUGCCUGGGGUCCCAAUCACCUGCUAGAUAUUUCUUGAGGUAGAAGAAUUUAUGGAUUUUUCUUAAGGAGUACUUUCUGCAGCCUAAGUCUGGGAACACUGCCUGUGUCUCCUAAUUCUUGCUUUCUGAGGACGGUCAGCCAUAUUCUCUAUAACUGAAACGCCCCUCCAAACUUUCCUGCAAAGGCAAUUGGCCAACCCUCACCUUUAAUGAUACUCAAACUGUAAACAUCUAACAAUACCCAUGUCAGAACGUGUAUUACAAUGAGGACAAACUAAAAAAUUUUGUUGGUAGUUUUUUGAAAGUGCAUGUACAUACUUUUAUUGCAAAAAAAUCCUUGUUUUGGGAUCAAAUGUAUAACCUUUCAAAUUAAGCUUGUAAAUGCUUCUAAACCAG